rnacentral:tRNA from 1 species
GGGAAUUUAGCUCAGUUGGUUAGAGCUCCCCGCUCAUAACGGGGUGGUCGUUGGUUCGAGUCCAUCAAUUCCCACCA